rnacentral:rRNA from 1 species
UACGGAGGGUCCAAGCGUUUAUCCGGAAUCAUUGGGUUUAAAGGGUCCGUAGGCGGUUUUGUAAGUCAGUGGUGAAAGCCCAUCGCUCAACGGUGGAACGGCCAUUGAUACUGCAAGACUUGAAUUAUUAGGAAGUAACUAGAAUAUGUAGUGUAGCGGUGAAAUGCUUAGAGAUUACAUGGAAUACCAAUUGCGAAGGCAGGUUACUACUAAUUGAUUGACGCUGAUGGACGAAAGCGUGGGGAGCGAACAGG